rnacentral:misc_RNA from 1 species
AAUUCUCAAACCACAGACUUGUGUUUGUGGCUUGGAUAGUUGGGUGUUGCCUAAUUUUAAAAGUAAGGCUCUCCUUAAAUGUAUAAGUGGUGCAUUUAGAAACUUGUUAGGUGUUGUAAAUUUAUUAAUACAUCUAUAUUUCUGAAAUGAGCUGCUCCUAAUAAAAACUUUUGAUGAUU